rnacentral:rRNA from 1 species
CAGUCGCCACGGUAAAACGGAGGGAGCUAGCGUUGUUCGGAAUUACUGGGCGUAAAGCGCGCGUAGGCGGUUACUCAAGUCAGAGGUGAAAGCCCAGGGCUCAACCCGAAGCCUGCACGAGAAACUGCCGGGCUUGAGUAUUGGAGAGGUGAGUGGAAUUUCCGGUGUAGCGGUGAAAUGCGUAGAUAUCGGAAGGAACACCUGUGGCGAAAGCGGCUCACUGGACAAUAACUGACGCUGAUGCACGAAAGCUAGGGGAGCAAACAGGAUUAGAUACCCGUGUAGUCCCUGUCUCUUAUAC